rnacentral:rRNA from 1 species
AUUUAUGGUCAUCCCAUCCUGAACACAAUCUUGUCUGAUCUUGGAAGCUAAGCAGGAUAAGGCUUGGUUAGUACUUGCACAGGAGAAACUUUUGUUACUAAUC